UACGUAGAGUGCAAGCGUUGUCCGGAAUUAUUGGGCGUAAAGAGCUCGUAGGCGGUCUGUCGCGUCGGCUGUGAAAUCCCGAGGCUCAACCUCGGGUCUGCAGUCGAUACGGGCAAACUGGAGUGUUGCAGGGGAGACUGGAAUUCCUGGUGUAGCGGUGAAAUGCGCAGAUAUCAGGAGGAACACCGGUGGCGAAGGCGGGUCUCUGGGCCGAUACUGACGCUGAGGAGCGAAAGCGUGGGGAGCGAACAGG
rnacentral:rRNA from 1 species